AACUUCAGAGGUCGUUGUAUACCAGAAAUCGCCUUCAGUAGAGAUCUAACUUAUCUUCGACAAUGUUGUGGACGGUUACCCCAUUUAAGUUUACCUUUUUCCGUUUCUUUUCGUUGGCGAAAGUGCACGGACAAUUACCAAAAUCAAAAUGUUCAAAUUCGGAUUUCCGAAAGACGACGAAAUGAAAGAAAAUGAUGUUAAUACUAUAAAAUCUACCGUUGAUUGGAUACCUGCAUCAAAGGUUCUAGUAUCCGAAUUGCAAAUCGAAAAACAAUUCGUACCGAAUGAUUACACGGUAAGCACAGUAUUUCCCAGGUGUAAAUUAAAAUUAAUUCGAUUCGAUAAAGCUUUACAAGACUUAAAAGACGAAGACUGUGUAAUCAUUAAAGAAGCAGAGUCACAACACUCAGAUCUAGUUCCCGCCAAAUACGAAGGUGGUCUAAAAAUCUGGGAAUGCAGUUACGAUCUAGGUCACUAUAUCCUCGAAAACAACAUCGAAUUUAAAGGCAAGGUUGUCUUGGAUUUGGGUUGUGGCGCCGGUGUCAUUGGCCUGAUAGCUCUUCUAAGAGAUUCAAUCGUUCAUUUCCAAGAUUACAACGUAGAGGUAAUUAAAACGAUAACGAUUCCAAACGUUUUGCUCAAUUCGGAGGAUCGGGAGAAAGUUUUGCAAAGAUGCGAAUUUUUUUGCGGGGAUUGGGAGUCGUUUACGAGGUUAAAUGACAAUAAAAACGAGGUUUCGAGGUACGAUUUCAUUUUCACAAGUGAAACGAUUUAUAAUCCUGACAAUCAUAGGAAACUGUACGAAGUUUUUAAAGAGAAACUGCAACCAGAUGGCGUGGGGUUCGUUGCCGCCAAAAGUUACUAUUUCGGUGUUGGCGGUGGAAUGAGACAAUUUCAAAGUCUCAUAGAGGAAGAUGGUAUUUUCGAUAUCGAAAUAGCAUGGAAAAGUCAACAGGUGUUCUCUACAGGAAAUGGACCACUUUCUACAUCGAAAGACACGCAUAGAGUAACAAAUACAGGUAUCCUUUGUCUCUAUCGUACCUAUUAAUAUUGUUUCCCACGGUAAUCUAAAUUGACCGUUUCCUAUUGAUAGCAGUAGUGAUUCGAACUAGUUUUACAAUACGAUUGAUUCCGUGUUUUUAAUUAUCAAUAUAUGAGCGCACUCUCGCGAGACACUGCGGCACCUAUUAUCACGCGUUAGCGUUCGAUAACAGGUGUUUCGUUGGCAAUUACGUAAACCACUGGGAAUAGUUCAAGCAAUCCAUUUUCUUGUGGUAGGGAAAGUAAUUUAAACUUGAUCAUUGAAACGCGAGAAAUUCUCAGUGAAAUCUACCAAAUGCUCAGUUAAAUCUACCAAAACCUGUACAGUUCAAUUUUGACUCAUGAAGAAUGUACGAUUAGGGGUUAGUGUCUCCUGGAAGUACGCGGGAACCGAAAAAUUUCGGUAAUUAUUUGAGGAUCAGGAUUCCCGAAAUUUCCGGGAAUCCCCGACGUUUUUGGGUCUCUAGAUCUCCAGUUCCUGAUAUUUUAGGGUUCUCGCAAAUCUCUAGCACAUUCUUAAUGGUAAAAUUACCUCCGAUGUCAACGCUGUAGUUCAUAUCUUGGGCGACAGAUUUUUCUGAUGACAUGAUGGUUACUCAGCUAAAUACUCCGAUUUCACAAAGGAAUGACUGACACUGGUUUGAAAGUGUUAUCUCGCAUGGCAAAACGUUGACACAACUUUUAACGUCACAUGUUCGAGGUUCCUUCCUCGUGGAAGAUGGCGCGCACUGUCAUGAGAUGCCGAAAUAAAGAUUUUCUAGGAUUAUGUUGCUCGUAUUUUAUCGCUUUUUUUUUGUUUACAAAGUUUUGACACUGAUACACCUGACAUGUCGAAGUGGCGAAGACUUGUAUUGCACUUGUAUUGGUUAAUGGAGUUACGAUUUGAGAUUAGACGAGACAUUUUCGGAACAUUUGCGAAAGUUGGAAACUAUUCCUACGUCACUGAGAUGAUUAAUAUCGUGACAUGAUUUAGAAAUAUCUUGUAGACAAUUUUGCAAUGUGUAAUUUAUGUAUGUAUAUCGUAUUUCCAUUUACUUCCUAGGUUACAGUGGUAUUUCUGUUGUUUGUUAUUUGACUGUAUCGAAUUUUUUAAAUAAUGAUGGAUAAUCAUUUUUCUGUUGAUUGAUCGAUUAAUGUUUAUCACGGUAUUUAUGAUUUAUAGGGAUUUCUAAUAUGUAAAAUGUCAGUUUUAUUGAAAGGCUAAUAUGAAAUAUUUUUGCUAAGUACAUCGUGUAAUGCAUCGAAUAUUAAAUAUUUACUAUCGGUGGUUUAUCGAACAAUGUUUAUAUUGUAUAGUAAAAUUAAUAUUUUAAAACAGAUCAAAAUAUUCAACUGAUUAUAUUUGUUAAUUUAAUUCAUGAAAUAAGGAAAUAUGUAUAAUGACUGCUUGCAUGUAGUAUAACAAACUUUAUUAUAAAACAAUCUAAUUGCUUGAAAUGUUGUAACAAAAGUUAUUUUAUAAAUGACAUAUUUGAAUGUAAUGCGGAUCUAUUAUUGUUAUUAAUUUGUAAUUUAUUACAACGCUUAAAUGAAUCAACUCGUUUAAAAAUUUGAAAUAUAAAAUAAAGAUUAUUUCUGUAUGCUUUAAUGGCGAAUAAAAAUAAAGUACACUGUUUUAUUUUGACAAGAAAAUUGUAUUAUAUAUUUUUAAAUAAAAUAUAAGUUACAACCUGUGUUAAUAAUUAAGAAACUACUUGUUUUCAAGUAGUUGUGUCGGUAAUUGAUCAUCGGAAGAAGUGUUUUCUUAUAAAUGAAAGAAAAGUUUUGUCAGUUGCAUUAUUUGCAACUAACGUUUACCAAAAUAAAAAAAUCAAUGUUUCAAUUCAUGGACUGUUAUAACAUACGAUAGUAUGAAUCAUACUACUCGUCGUAUUUUGACAAGCAACAGAUAAUAUCGUCGCUAGGUUAGAAUGAAGGAUGUGAUGCCCUGCUAUCUGUAUAUACUUACUCUGCUACAUCACGAAUAUCCUUUUGGAAGGUUACCGAAUCAAUUAUAUAGACUAAUCCUUUUGCAGAUAAUUUAAAUUGAUCAAAAAAUUUAUAUCGUAAACGUUCGUGUCCAGGAAUAUCAACAAGUUUCAAGACGUAUAAGUUUUAACAAAUUUGGAACAUAAUAAACGUGCAAAUAUCAGAGUUUUACCAGAAUCGCUCAAACCAGUUAAAAGUAUCCUAUUACCUAUGGACUUUUUUCUGCGCCAUAUGAAAAAUAACACUGAACAGAUAAACAAAGCGAAGGAUUAUACACAGUAUCAUAAUGCCUACACUUAGCUUACCAACAUCACACAACCAUAUAAAGUUAAGUAUAUGGAUAUUCUGAUUUAAACCAACAAAGUUCUUAAAAGAUGUACCUAUUUUUGUUUUAUAUAUAUAAUUACGAUAUUAUGUUUCUUGAACUCCUUGUAUGUAUUAUUAUACUUCUUCUUUUUUAUCGUACAUAUUAUGAUAUACAUUGAUUUUAAACGAAUGAGUGUAAUUGCUUAUUGGACUUGGUAAAUAAUGUUAAAAGAUAAUAUGAAAUUUAUGAAUACUAUUAAAAUAUACUUUAUAAUUUGCAUAUUUCA